GAUGAACGCUGGCGGCGUGCCUAACACAUGCAAGUCGAGCGAACCCUUCGGGGUGAGCGGCGGACGGGUGAGUAACGCGUGGGUAACCUGCCCUGUACACACGGAUAACAUACCGAAAGGUAUGCUAAUACGGGAUAACAUAUGAGAGUCGCAUGGCUUUUGUAUCAAAGCUCCGGCGGUACAGGAUGGACCCGCGUCUGAUUAGCUAGUUGGUAAGGUAACGGCUUACCAAGGCAACGAUCAGUAGCCGACCUGAGAGGGUGAUCGGCCACAUUGGAACUGAGACACGGUCCAAACUCCUACGGGAGGCAGCAGUGGGGAAUAUUGCACAAUGGGCGAAAGCCUGAUGCAGCAACGCCGCGUGAGCGAUGAAGGCCUUCGGGUCGUAAAGCUCUGUCCUCAAGGAAGAUAAUGACGGUACUUGAGGAGG
rnacentral:rRNA from 1 species